CAUGUAAUUACAUUAUUAUACAUCAGUCAUUUAACCAGGGUAAACAAUAAUUGCUGGAAAACUAAGAUUUUUAAUAUGAAGAAAGGAAUUGCUAAGUAAAUGAAAGGGAAACAUACAAAUGUACUGUGUGAUUCUUUUGUGUAGCUGUUUGUUUAGCAAUUCAGGAAGUGACUUAAACUUUGCCUGCCAAUAUUAGAUGCUAGAUUUUUAUCAAAGGAAAGGUCCUAUCAUUUUUCAUGUGUGUUUAGUUAGAGAUUUG
rnacentral:lncRNA from 1 species